rnacentral:rRNA from 1 species
UACGGAGGGAGCUAGCGUUGUUCGGAAUUACUGGGCGUAAAGCGCACGUAGGCGGCUUUGUAAGUUAGAGGUGAAAGCCCGGAGCUCAACUCCGGAAUUGCCUUUAAGACUGCAUCGCUUGAACAUCGGAGAGGUGAGUGGAAUUCCGAGUGUAGAGGUGAAAUUCGUAGAUAUUCGGAAGAACACCAGUGGCGAAGGCGACUCACUGGACGAUUGUUGACGCUGAGGUGCGAAAGCGUGGGGAGCAAACAGG